rnacentral:rRNA from 1 species
CAUCCUCCAAGGCUAAAUACUCCUGACUGACCGAUAGUGAACCAGUACCGUGAGGGAAAGGCGAAAAGAACCCCGGCGAGGGGAGUGAAAAAGAACCUGAAACCGUGUACGUACAAGCAGUGGGAGCCCCACCACCAAAGCAUUCUCUGGUGUUGAAGGCCCUGCAAAGCAGCAUCGCGGUGGCGGAGCGUCGUUUGCGACGCCCAACACACAAAACAAGCGGUGAGUGCUUUGGGGUGGGGUGACUGCGUACCUUUUGUAUAAUGGGUCAGCGACUUAUAUUCUGUAGCAAGGUUAACCGUAUAGGGGAGCCGAAGGGAAACCGAGUCUUAACUGGGCGUUAAGUUGCAGGGUAUAGACCCGAAACCCGGUGAUCUAGCCAUGGGCAGGUUGAAGGUUGGGUAACACUAACUGGAGGACCGAACCGACUAAUGUUGAAAAAUUAGCGGAUGACCUGUGGCUGGGGGUGAAAGGCCAAUCAAACCGGGAGAUAGCUGGUUCUCCCCGAAAGCUAUUUAGGUAGCGCCUCGUGAACUCAUCUUCGGGGGUAGAGCACUGUUUCGGCUAGGGGGUCAUCCCGACUUACCAACCCGAUGCAAACUGCGAAUACCGAAGAAUGUUAUCACGGGAGACACACGGCGGGUGCUAACGUCCGUCGUGAAGAGGGAAACAACCCAGACCGCCAGCUAAGGUCCCAAAGUCACAGUUAAGUGGGAAACGAUGUGGGAAGGCUCAGACAGCCAGGAUGUUGGCUUAGAAGCAGCCAUCAUUUAAAGAAAGCGUAAUAGCUCACUGGUCGAGUCGGCCUGCGCGGAAGAUGUAACGGGGCUAAACUGUGCACCGAAGCUGCGGCAGCGACGCUUAUGCGUUGUUGGGUAGGGGAGCGUUCUGUAAGCCUGCGAAGGUGUCCUGUGAGGGAUGCUGGAGGUAUCAGAAGUGCGAAUGCUGACAUAAGUAACGAUAAUGCGGGUGAAAAGCCCGCUCGCCGGAAGACCAAGGGUUCCUGUCCAACGUUAAUCGGGGCAGGGUGAGUCGACCCCUAAGGCGAGGCCGAAAGGCGUAGUCGAUGGGAAACGGGUUAAUAUUCCCGUA